AGAUGAUGUUCUCUCUACCUUCAGAAUAUAUUAAUAAUCAAACUACUUCUCAUUUAUUUUUCUCCAUCCUUGCGUGAACUUUGAGCAUCUAUCAUCUCUGGCAUAGGUUGAUUGGCUGUCUGGGUGAUCCCCAUUGUGAGUGUGGAUGUGGAGACUGCUUGCCGCAAUGGGACGGUGUCCUGUCCAAUGCUGGUUCCCGCCUUGCAACCUGAGCUGCUGAGACAGACUCCAGCCACCCACGACUCUGAACUAGAAUAAGCUAAAGUGCAGAGACAUAAUUGUGUAUCACUGCAACCUUCACAUCCUGGGCUCAAGUGAUCCUCCCACCUCAGCCUCCCAAGUAGCAGAGACUACAGGUAC
rnacentral:lncRNA from 1 species